GGCAGUUGGAGCCUGGUGCUUGGAGCUGGAGGAGCCCCGUGGACUGCUUUCCUUCAGAUUGGUCAUGAAGACUGUGGCAGUUGGAGAGAGCAGAGGAUUCUGGGAGGAACCUGAGCUGGGAGUGUUCUAAGCAGCUGCUGGGGGAUUAUGAGCUGAGCAGAAGAGACCUGUUUUGUGAAGCUGAGGGUUUCUCUGAAAGCCACCUGAGAGGAUCCUGAUUCUACACUCAAACCUUCCAGAGAUCUUGCUUCAAGGAGUCAUCUACAACCACCUAUGGACUGAGGAGAAGAUAUCUCAGACCCCAUAAGGGGCUGUUGGACUCACAAAAGGAGAGCCCAGCUUCUUUGUCCUUUCUGCCUUCCUGCAUUCAUUCCUUUAUAGGCUCUUAGGCUUAAUAGAUAUUUAAGUUAAUAGAAGGAUUAUUUUAUUGGAAAGGGAUGGUGAAAUCUGUAUGAAGAGGUAUUUUCUCCCUGUAGAGACCACAGACCAUGUAGGAACACCAGGGCAACCUAUAUCCUCCUUCCUUCAUCUAGCUUACCUAAUGCCUGUUAUUAAACCCUUUCGCAAAGCAGUCAGGUUCUUGUCAAGCCUCUCAAACAUUGUGUGGAAGGGUACGCAGUGUUGAGAAAGAGAGGAGGGUGCUUUGUCCAUCACCCUCUGAGGAAAGGCCCCUGCUGGGGAGUGCCUCUGGAUCAUCUUCUGAGGAGGAAACUUGAAAGCUUCCCUAGUGUUAGGUAAAAGAGGAAGCCUGUCAUCACUUCCCCUUCAGCCUCAGGGAAUCUAGUGCUAGGGAAGAACAGAGGCUAACUCCAUUCAGUCUUAGCUCUCCCUUUCAUAGGUUGAAUCUGCUUCCCUUAUUCCUUUGAUUCACCAUGAUAGCCAGUUGGGAAAACCCUUUAGUUGCAGUCCAGUAACCUUCCAUUUUUACACUGGUUUAGAUAUCUUGACCACGUGUUUAUUAGGAAAGAUGCCUUCUUUUUCUAUCUUUUUUCAGUUUGCUUAAUAUUGAGAUUAAUUGUUCUUUUAUGUUUGAUAGAAUUCACUUGUAAAUCUU